UAGUUUCUGGAACUUUUCAAUCUAGUUAAAAUUUGAAAAGCAAGAAACUCGUAGUUUUUGUUUUUGUCUUUUUGUUAUCGGCGUUAGUUUAGCAUUCACCGUUCGCUCAUAGAUUUUAGAGAAAUUGAUAUUCUGUCAAAUUUAUGUCAAUUCCUUUAAAAUCCAUAAGAAAAAAGUAAACAGAAUUAUGUAUAUGCAUCAAAACCUCAUGAAAUCUUGUAAACUACUGCAAUAUUUCUUAUUUAUGAAUUCUUUCAAAUUCUAUUAAAUUCUGGAUCGAAUACCCCUUAAUAGUUAAUACUAUCCCGAUUGUCCACCUCGUUGAAAGGCUGAUACUUUCUUGCGCUGGUGAUGUUAAAGAUUCGUAUAGAAAACUUGUAGAAGACAAAUUCUGUGGUAGCUGGAAAUAAAACCAGGAGUAGAGUUGCUCUUAAUCAUGAUAACUGUUUGGAUUUAAAUAUCUACACCUUAAUCAAUAUAUUGGUAUGCUUAACACAUGAUAACUGGUUGUCUCAAUCAAUUUCCAUUUUCUGCCGGUCUAUGCUGUUUUAGUUCGGGUUAACCAACCUUAGUUAGGCGACUUAUUAGAUCAUCUUUUUGAAAGACAAUUAAAGGUUUCAGUUUCCGAAAAAAGACAUUUAAAGGUACAUAUAUUGGUAUGCUAAACACAAACUUUCACCGGUCAUUUUUUAAAUUAAGUUACGUAAGUUGGUUAUAUGCCAAAUUAAAUCUAUUUUGUAUCGUACUACUAUCUAAAAAAUCGGCAUUUUACGUGAUUAUUGUAAGAUUUUCGAUACUGAUUUCUCUGUUAUAUUAUUUUACUAUUUUUAUAAAAAAUAACUGAAGAAGAAAAAGGGACAACAUCACAGCCUUAUUUUACUGAUAGCAUUAAAAAAUAUUCUCUCUUUUAUAUAACAACCAAGUAAUACAUACAUAUAUCUUUUUAAUCCACCACAACAUCAUCUUCAAACUCUAAAUUUUCAAAUAAUAUAUAUACGUAAUAUAUCGUUGGUAUAUCAUAACGUCUUCAUCUACUCAUCAUUAAGAAGUCAACUCCAGCGUUUUGCGACCGCAUUUAGGACAAUCAAGUCGUAUAUCAGUGAAAAAGGCAUAUGAGCGAAAGUCUGGGAGUUUGUGAAAGUGUAUAAAAUUUUUAAUUCAGCCAUUUCGUUUUAAGCGACUACUCAAUUUUGAUCCGCACUUCAAAAGUGCGGGAUAAUUUCUUACAUUUGAAAAUUACUACAACUUUUUGUUUCAAUUGAAUGUUUGAGUUUUGACGUCUAUAAUUAGAAGUAAUUUAUUUUGACGUCUUAUAGUGCUAGGCACUCGGGUUUUAGUUCGGGUCUUUUCAGGUUAUUUUGUUUUUGGCUUAUUUUGUUUGGAGUGUUUAGCACCCAUUUAAGAACCAGAUAUUUUUCGGAUCAGAUCAGUCUGGGUAAUGUCAAAUUUGGGUCGAGUUUAUAUUUUCUGUAAAACCCAAGUGGAACCAACUUUGAAAUAGUUUGAGUUUGAUGUAUGUUUAAAACCAAAAAUCUCCAAAAAAAACUCUUGAAAACCCGAGUUAAAUUAGAAAUUCAAAAAAGUUGGGUAAGUAAGGGUUUUUGGAUAUUUUAAUUUAUAAAUUAAAUUAUACAUUAUAAUAAUUAAUAUUUUUUAUUUUAAUAUUUAGAUAACCUUUCGGUUCUCUGGUUGGGCUUCGAUUUUUGGAUUUAGAGAAAUAGGAACAUUCAAGAUUUUGCAAAUUUUAGCUGGUUUUAAUUAUAGUUUUUUUUUUCGUUUCGGUUUCAAUUUGAUUUUUGGGUUUUAAAUAAUAUGUUCAAGACUAACAUGUCAUUAGUUUUCUUAUAUGUGCUUUAAUAUCUAUAUUACUAAAAUAUAAUAGUUAUUAUUUUUAACCUUAAAAUACUUUAUAAUAUUAAUUUUUGAAAUAUUGUGUUUUUAAAAGAUUUUUGUCCUUCAUUAAAUAUAUUUUAUCCUUUGUAAAUUGAUUCAAAAAAAAUCAUGCGUGCAACAUUCAGUGAUACUGAUGGCAUUAAGAAAAUAUUAUCUCUUUUAUAUAACAACCAAAUAAUACUACAUAUAUCUUUUUAAUCCACCACAACAUCAUCUUCAAACUCUAUAUUUUCAAAUAAUAUAUACAUAAUACAUCGUUGGUAUAUUACAACGUCUUAAUUUACUCAUCAUUAAGAAGUCAACUCCAGCGCUUUGCGACCGUGUUUAGGACAAUCAAGUCGUAUAUCAGUGAAAAAGGCAUACGAGGGAAAGUCUGGGAGUUUAUGAAAGUGUAUAAAAUUUUAAGUUCAGCCAUUAUGUUUUAAGCGACUACUAAAUUUUGAUCCGCGUUUUUAAAGUGCGGGAUAAUUUUUAAAAAAAAUUACUACAACUUUUUGUUUCAAUUGAAUGUUUGAGUUUUGACAUCUAUAAUUAGAAGUAAUUUAUUUUGAUGUCUUAUAGUGCUUGGCACUCGAGUUUUAGUUCGGGUCUUUUCAGGUUAUUUUGUUUUUGGCUUAUUUUGUUUGGAGUGUUUAGCACCCAUUUAAGAACCAGAUAUUUUUCAGAUCAGAUCAGUCUGGGUAAUUUCAAAUUUGGGUCGCGUUUGUAUUUUUUGUAAAACCCGAAGUGGAACCAACUUUGAAAUAGUUUGAGUUUGAUGUAUGUUUAAAGCCAAAAAUCUCCAAAAAAAACUCUUGAAAAUCCGAGUUAAAUUAGAAAUCCAAAAAGUUGGUAAGUAAGGGUUUUUGGAUAUUUAAUUUAUAAAUUAUAUUAUAUAUUAUUAUAAUUAAUAUUUUUUUAUUUUAAUAUUUAGAUAACCUUUCGGUUCUCUGGUUUGGUUUUGAUUUUUGGAUUUAGAGAAAUAGGAACCAUUCAAGAUUUUGCAAAUUUUAGCUGGUUUUAGUGAUAUGUUUUUUUUUUUCGGUUUCAGUUUGAUUUUCGGGUUUUAAAUAAUAUGUUCAAGACUAACGUCUCAUUAGUUUUCUUAUAUGUGCUUUAAUAUCUAUCUUACUAAAAUAUAAUAGUUAUUAUUUUUAACCAUAAAAUACUUUAUAAUAUUAAUUUUUGAAAUAUUGUGUUUUUAAAAGAUUUUUGUCCUUCAUUAAAUAUAUUUUAUCCUUUGUAAAUUGAUUAAAAAAAAAUCAUGCGUGCAACAUUCAGUGAUACUGAUGGCAUUAAAAAAAUAUUCUCUCUUUUAUAUAACAACCAAAUAAUACAUACAUAUUAGGGGCAGCCCGCCCUACGGGCGGGAUAUAAUUUACUUGUGAUAUAAUUAUUAUUUUUUGUAUGAUUUUGUUGUUGAUGUUUUAAGUUUGUAUUCACAAGAGAUGUAUGACAAUAAUUUUGUCUUUUAGGAAGUUUUAGGUAAAGAGGGAUUAUAUGUGAUAAGAUAUAUUUUGCUACUUAAUUUUAGUGAUUCUCUUAUUUUACAAUAUAAGUGGAUGAUAAUGGAGUAUCUGAGACGUAGAAAAAAAAAGUAAGGUAGAUCUUUAUAAAAAAAACUUAUUUUGGUUGUAAAGUGAAGUGUGAACGAUAAUACAUGGCUUUGGCGUUUGAAAUUACUACUUACAAUUAAAAAAAAAUUCGAAGUCCAUAUCAAAUUUUUUGUCUAGGAAUUCAUUGAAAUUGGUCCUUGAAAAAACGUAUUUUCAUGUCCUCCACAUUUCUUCAUAUAUAUCAACAAUGAGUGAGGAGAGAUAUCCACUAAAUGUAAGAUAUAUUUUUUUUCAACAUACAUAAACUCUGAAAGAGCAUGAACUUACCCGAGCAGCAUAUUGUUGGGAUCGUGAAAAUCCAUGUUCAACAUUUUAUUAUCCGAUUAACAUGAUAGUGUCCACUUUGGACAUGGAUUUGCUUUUGGAUUCCUUCCCAAAAAAUUUCGUACUAAUUAUAGUUGCACAUCUCUUUAUAUAUUAGAUUAUCCUUUGUCUAAUUUCCAACGUGGGACUUUGUUUGAUAUCUCACACAUAUGUUCUUUAAAAUCGUCUCUUCUCAGAAUUAAGCUGCUAUCAAAAUUACAAAUGAUCAGAAAGCUAAAAUCAUAGGGUAUUUCUCAAAAUUAAUAAAAAAAUCAACUCAAAAUGGCUCUUAAUAAAUUUAUGUACUUCAUCUGAAAUUAGCAAGUGUUAGUUCAUCACCGACACAAAUUCCAUGAACAGAGACGUUUACCAGCUAGAGAAGAAGAUAUUUUUUCCCAUUGCAAAUCAUUGAGGAAAAGUUAAGAGAUAAGAGUCCUUUCUAGGUGAUCUUCCUGAUAACGUCUAAUUGUUUAACUGAUUUUUACGAAGCUACUGUAUUGGAUCCUCGCCCAGAACAUUCAUCUUGCUGAUGCUCCUGCAUCUGAAAGAUACAGAUUACAAUUCGGUUGAUAGGAACAAUCUAGUUCAUAAUCGGAAGAGGCACAAUUAUUGGGUUUUCAUGCUAUUUAUCUAAUUUCAAAUACAAUGGAACAAUUUUUUGAAUCGUAUAAUUAUCAUUUUAAGAAAAGACUUUUUGAAAAAUCUAUUUAACUCAAUAAAUAAAAACAUAGAAAAUAAAAUGAUCUCUAUUUUUUUGUUUUGAAAACAAUCAAAUACAGUUUUAAAUUAUUUAUUCUACUUAUUAUCAUCCAUAAAUAUUAAAAUAGUAAAGUUAAAGUUAUUUUAAUUAAAAAUAAACAAAAUAUAGAAUAUUAUUUCGUCCAUUUGGGGUAAGAAUAUUAUUCACUGGAGGUCAAAGGUGGUAAAAUCAAAUACUAUAUAGUAUCUAAUUUAGACCGUCACAUUUUUAUUGCAAAUCCAGUAUUCAAAACAAAAUUAUAUGAGGCUACGUAGAGGCCCAUUUUGAGAUCCACACAGAAAAUUUAAGCCAGGAAAUAUGUUGUUUUGUUACAUGAAGCGAUACCGUUUCAUCGGUCUUUUUAUUUACUAAUUGGACCUUUGGUUCAAACCCAUUUAUAUUUCGCAUUUUUUGUAAAUUUUUUAAUAGCGAGCCCUCAGCAAAGCAAUCGCAAUCUCGAUCUUGGAAAAGAGAGAAGAAAUGGCGGCCUAAACAAUAAUAAGGUCUGAAGCUUCCCUGAUGAAUCAGUUUCUGACGAAGCCAUCAACAAAUAUUUUGCAGAACAAUAUCAGUGAUAUGGCGGAUUCCACCAGGUUUGGGCUGGAGGUAAUUGGAGUGGUUUGACACGAUCGCUUGCUUCCACCAGAGGUUAACGGGCCAAAAGCAGAUGCUUCUGCCGCUUCUGUCCAGGGCCGCUACUGCCCAAGUCAAAUGGUUGAUACUAUUACGGAAGCUCAUAAGUAGAGACCAUCAACGAAAAGGAGGAAUGAGUUUUAAGAGGACAGGUGACAGCUUCUCCUUUCUCUAUUUGAUGAGGUGGCAUCGUAAGAAGAGAGAAAACUCUUCUUACUAGGAAAAAGAACUCAUCAGGUCUCCAACUAGCAGACCCUCUUUCAUUUGUACACAUCGUCGUUUAACAGUCACCAGGCUACGGGUUUAACAUUUGGAACUUUGUAUGUCUUCACCAAAAGUAUCAGAAUUCUUAAAUUA